rnacentral:rRNA from 1 species
GGGCCCGCACAAGCGGUGGAGCAUGUGGUUUAAUUCGAUGAUACGCGAGGAACCUUACCAGGGCUUAAAUGCAUUAUGACAGGGGUGGAGACACCCUUUUCUUCGGACAUUUUGCAAGGUGCUGCAUGGUUGUCGUCAGCUCGUGCCGUGAGGUGUCAGGUUAAGUCCUAUAACGAGCGCAACCCCUGUUGUUAGUUGCCAGCGAGUAAUGUCGGGAACUCUAGCAAGACUGCCGGUGCAAACCGCGAGGAAGGUGGGGAUGACGUCAAAUCAUCACGGCCCUUACGCCCUGGGCCACACACGUGCUACAAUGGCAGGUACAGCAAGCAGCCACUGGGCGACCAGGAGCG